GACGAACGCUGGCGGCGCGCCUAACACAUGCAAGUCGAACGGAGCUGAGAGAAGCUUGCUUUUCUUAGCUUAGUGGCGAACGGGUGAGUAACGCGUGAGUAACCUGCCCUGGAGUGGGGGACAACAGUUGGAAACGACUGCUAAUACCGCAUAAGCCCACGAUCCGGCAUCGGAUUGAGGGAAAAGGAUUUAUUCGCUUCAGGAUGGACUCGCGUCCAAUUAGCUAGUUGGUGAGGUAACGGCCCACCAAGGCGACGAUUGGUAGCCGGACUGAGAGGUUGAACGGCCACAUUGGGACGGAGACACGGCCCAGACUCCUACGGGAGGCAGGAGUGGGGGAUAUUGCAAAAUGGGGGAAACCCUGAUGCAGCGACGCCGCGUGGAGGAAGAAGGUUUUCGGAUUGUAAACUCCUGUCGUAAGGGACGAUAAUGACGGUACCUAACAAGAAAGCACCGGCUAACUACGUG
rnacentral:rRNA from 1 species